CCUACGGGCGGCUGCAGUGGGGAAUAUUGCGCAAUGGGCGAAAGCCUGACGCAGCGACGCCGCGUGAGGGAUGAAGGUCUUCGGAUCGUAAACCUCUGUCAGCAGGGAAGAACGGUCACUGUGCUAAUCAGCAGUGAAUUGACGGUACCUGCAAAGGAAGCACCGGCUAACUCCGUGCCAGCAGCCGCGGUAAUACGGAGGGUGCGAGCGUUAAUCGGAAUUACUGGGCGUAAAGCGCACGUAGGCGGUAUGUCAAGUCAAGGGGGAAAUCCCCGGGCUCAACGUGGGAACUGCCUGUGAUACUGGCAAACUAGAGGGUUGUAGAGGAGAGUAGAAUUCCAUGUGUAGGAGUGAAAUCCGUAGAUAUGUGGAGGAACAGCAGUGGCGAAGGCGACCAUCUGGCACAUAACUGACGCUGAGGAGCGAAAGCGUGGGUAGCAAACAGGAUUAGAUACCCGAGUAGUC
rnacentral:rRNA from 1 species